rnacentral:rRNA from 1 species
UGAUAUAUAUUUCAACGGCCGCAGUACUUUGACUGUGCUAAGGUAGCGUAAUCAGUUGGCUUUUAAAUGGAGUCGAGAAUGAAAGGGUUUUCGGGAACUAACUGUCUCUAUUAAACUUAUUUUAACUUACUUAGGGAGUGAAAAUUCUCCCGAAAAGAAAAAAGACGAGAAGACCCUAAGAGUUUUAAUUAAGCUGUGCGCAUGUACAGGAAGUUUUUGCUGGGGCGGCAAGGAGACAGGUUAGUAAACUCUCCUGCUUAAUUUUUAGCAGACGUGUAUAUAAAGUAACAAUAAACUACCUUAGGGAUAACAGCAUAAUUUAGUUUAAGUUUGUGACCUCGAUGUUGGACUAGGGACUUUACGGCUAGCAGUCGCAAAAGCGGGUUCUGUUCGAACUUCCUUCCCCU